UACAGAGGUCCCAAGCGUUGUUCGGAUUUACUGGGCGUAAAGGGCGCGUAGGCGGUCGGGCAAGUCUGGUGUGAAAUCUUCGAGCUUAACUCGGAAACUGCAUUGGAUACUAUUCGGCUAGAGAGUUGGAGGGGGUAUUGGAAUACUUAGUGUAGCAGUGAAAUGCGUAGAUAUCAAGUGGAACACCAGUGGCGAAGGCGAAUCCCUGGACAACUUCUGACGCUGAGGCACGAAAGCGUGGGUAGCAAACAGG
rnacentral:rRNA from 1 species